UACAUGCCAAGCCAGCCAAGGUGUUUUGUUAUUUCUAAACACGAAGGGGAGUUUGUUUAUUUUUGUUGUUAGUGGUCAAGGUUUCAGUGAUUCAACUAACUAACUAGUGAAUUUGAAAAUACCAUGACGUACAAGCAGUGUUUGUUGUACGUAACUUCAGAUAAAAGUUUUAAACAAAACUUAAAUUUUGUUGAAGCAUGCAGCCACGAAUGUCACCGUGUUUGUGUUUAAUUGUGACAACAUGUGAUACGCCAGGGAAUAAAGUACUGUAGAUCAUAAUUCUUAUGAUGUAAAACAUACUACCGGCUAUAAUUUCAAACUGAAUAUGUUUCAUGUUAGCCAGAAUAAGCGUCACAUGCGGACGAUUACGAUCGGUGCGCAUGCACUACUAUUGAUGGUUCUUAGUGUAAGAGCCGACGAAAGUAGUUACACGAAGAUCACCAACACUGAUUUGAUCAAAGAAGCAGAUGAUUCGCUCCUACUUUUGUCGACGCUAGACGGUUCGUUUAUUGGAAUAAGUCAGCGAACAGGAAUGGUGAAAUGGCAAAUUAAAGACGAGCCGGCUGUGAAAGUACCAAUUGACACAUCAAAAGCCAUAAACCCCAUGUACCUGCCAGACCCUAAAGAUGGUUCACUGUAUGUUUUGUCUGAGUCUGAUCAAGAUGCCUUAAAGAAACUGCCAUUUACUAUACCACAGCUUGUUGCCUCUUCACCUUGCCGAAGCAGUGAUGGGAUACUUUAUACUGGGAAGAAAGUGGACACCUGGUUUUCAGUUGAUCCCAGGACAGGAGAAAAACAGGAAGUUCUUAGCUAUGACAAAGUUGAUAAGACUUGUCCCAUUUCUAAUGCUGAAUCUGUGCUCAUUGGAAGAACAGAAUACAACAUUAUGAUGCUGGACAGUAAAAAUAAAGGUCGUAGUUGGAAUGUGACGUUUUUUGAUUACUCAGCAAAUCUGAUGGAAGCUGAAACUCGGAAUGAUUAUCCAUACGUUCAUUUUGUGGCGAGUUCUUCAGGGCGAGCACUAAGUAUUGACAGACAUGUGGGAUCACCUCUGUGGCAGCAUGACUAUGGUUCACCUGUAAUAGCUAUGUAUAUUUUAGAAGACAGUGGCCUGGUUGCUGUUCCAUUCACAAGUAUUGCAGAGGAAACAUUAGACCACCUUGUACUGCAGUUUGAAAAUGAUCCCACAUCCAUCAGCACUUUAAAGUUAUACCCAACACUCUAUGUUGGUGAGCAUUUGCAUGGCAUGUAUGCAUUACCAUCUUUGGUGGACCAAAGUACAGCAACAAUUGCACAUUUGGGUUUACCAUUACUUGAAGGACCAAGUUUGGACACAGAAGAGGCAAGCUCUGAUGCCAACAUCCCUAAAACAAAAGCUCCAGAAGCAGAUGUAACAUUUCAGAGUCUGCCUAGAGUAACUAUUGGCCAUCACAAGGUCCCAGAAUACAGUGAAACAGUAAUGAGGAUUACAGGCAGAACUGACAUAAGUGCAAUUGAUACACAUCAUAUUGUUGGUCACAAUAAAACAAAUAUAACUGUAGCUUUUGAGGGAAAUGCCCCAAGCACUGAGGCCACGAAGAGGCAAAAUAACAGUCACUUACCUUUUAUAUCAAUUGGAAUACAAACAACAAAAUUAGAUGACUUCAAAGAAAAAUUGGAGGAAUUAUAUGAUAAAUUAUCUACAGGAAGGACAUCCUUCAUUUUAUCACAGGAGUUUCCACUACUGUCUUACACCAUUGCAAAGUCAUGGCUCCGCCAACAAGAAAAUGUGGGUUUAAAGUUUACAGUAAUUCUGCUUGUUGCUUCAGUCAUUAUACUGAUUUACUUGAGAGUUCAGGAUCGUGAAUAUUUACGUUCCUCACAAGGCUCAAAUAUAAGUAAUGUAUCAAGUAGUGACAGCAAUUCACAUAUUGUGACAGCGGAAGCAGAAGAUGUUGGUGCUGGCAACAUAAGAGUUGGAAAGAUUAUCUUCAACAGAGAGCAGAUACUUGGAAAAGGCUGCGAAGGAACAUUCGUUUACAAGGGUGAAUUUGACCGGCGAGCUGUAGCUGUAAAGCGGAUAUUGCCCGAGUGCUUCACAGUAGCAGACCGUGAGGUGGCUCUUCUGCGCGAGUCAGAUGCUCAUCCAAAUGUAGUUCGCUACUUUUGCACAGAACAAGAUCGCCUUUUUCGUUAUAUUGCUCUGGAAUUAUGUGCAGCAACAUUGCAAGACUAUGUUGAGGGUAGAUUCCACAUUGGUCGAAUCUCUGCUCGCGACAUUCUGCACCAAGCAGUUGCUGGGUUGCAUCAUUUACAUUCUCUUAAUAUAGUUCACCGUGACAUAAAACCGCACAAUGUCUUGCUUUCAAUGCCAGAUGGGAAAGGGGAGGUCAGAGCAAUGAUAUCAGAUUUUGGUUUAUGUAAGAAACUGAAGAUUGGGCGCACAUCUUUCUCUAGACAGUCUGGUGUAACAGGCACAGAAGGAUGGAUAGCACCAGAAAUGAUGAAUGGAUGUGUUCGUGCGACUUGCGCAGUUGAUAUAUUUUCUAUGGGGUGUGUUUUUUAUUAUGUUUUGACUGAUGGCAAACAUCCAUUUGGGGAUGAAUUGAGGAGACAGUCCAAUAUUGUUACUGGAGAAUAUAGACUGGCAGACUUGGAAGGAGAAAUCAAUGCUCUGCAGCACAAUCUUAUAUCAGCAAUGAUAACAGCAGAUCCUGGUAGCAGGCCAUCAGCAGUUGCUGUUAGGAACCAUCCUGUAUUCUGGAAUGGUGCUCGAAUAUUGGCUUUCUUUCAGGAUGUAAGUGAUCAUGUAGAGAAAGAUGAUUAUUCAAGUCCUGUCUUGCGUGCCUUGGAGCACUGCAGCUUGAGUGUUGUGCGCUCAGACUGGCGAGCACACAUCAGUGAGGACGUUGCUCAGGAUCUGCGGAAAUUCCGAAGCUACACUGGGAGUAGUGUCCGGGAUUUGCUUCGUGCAUUACGAAACAAGAAAAACCAUUACCGUGAGCUGUCGUCAGAGGUACAGAAAAGUUUGGGUGCAAUACCUGACAAAUUUGUCAGUUACUGGACACAUCGUUUUCCUUUGCUUUUGUUGCAUACAUGGCUGGCAAUGCAGUGUGUGAAGUCUGAACCUAUAUUUUGCCAGUACUACCAACAAGAUUAUACAUUCUGCAAUAGCUUGACCAUGGAUUCUACAGGAACUGUAGAACCUAAUACACUGAGGAAUAUUAACCUCUCAGAUGAGAGCCGCUCAGCAGCUGUACUAAAUGGGGGAUCUCAUAUUAUAUCUAAUGUUGACCCAUUCAAUCUUAAAAGAAAGGUUUACCCUAAUUUGCAAACACCUAAAAAGAAACAAGAAAACGGUAGAUUCUUGCGUAAAAUUGAAAGCCGUUCACCAUCAUCCAUGGAUUAUAAUUGGAGACAGAAUUCUAAUGCAGUAGCAGACUCCACAAAGGCUCUUUUCAAUAAUGUAGGCAGUGAAAUGAAUUCCAGUGCAUUUUUGGACAGCCAGUGUGGAAAAAAAGCUGAUAGUGAGGGUUUUGGAGAGAACACUUUAGAUCAAGCAGAAACUGUGGUCAUUUCCAAACAUACUAAAAAUAGACUAGUGACGAAUCUUCAGACAGAUUCAGAGACAAGUGAUUUUAGUGAUGUACAGAACAGAAGACAUGAUAAGCCAGAUUUAAGUGGUGUGCGAGUGAAGAGCAAAAAGAAGCAUAAACCUGUAGAAGUGCCGCUUGUAUGGACACUCUCCCUGUCAUCACCUGAUACUUAGGGAUGCUAUUUUUUGUUUUGCAAUAGUGAAAAUUUCCAUACUUGUGUUUAUAUCCACUUGAAUAUUUCAUGUGCUCUUUAUUUCUUCACACACAUUAUUUGUGUUAAUACUGUUAUAUGACCAGAACUGCAAUACAUGCAGUGUUGUACGACCAGACCUGCAGGACUUGCAGUGACAUUUGCUUUGAUAAGGGGAGAAAAUAUGCACCUUACAUGUCAUUUUACUGUUUUGUUGUAAUUAUGACUUUGAAUGAUGCGGGUGUAUGGCAUUUUCUCGUAAGACACCUUAAUUUAGCCUUUAUGAGCUGCAGUUAUUGUCUAGAAUUAUUAUUAUAUGAUUCUGAUUCUUCAAACAUUGUACUCAAAAAGUGAGAGAGUUGGUCUUCAGUUUUUCAUAUAGGUCAGUUCACCAGAACUGUAAGCUAACCACUCUGCAGGUUUUUGGUGAAUUUGGGUGUUAACUCAGUUCCUGUUCUAACUUGUUUGUUAAAAAAAGUGCACAAAUUUAAUGUUAAUUUUUUUGUUGAAAAGUCUAAGUUUGUUUCUUUAUUUUUCAUGUUAAGGCAGUAUUUGCUGUACAUGUUUCACUACAAAACAGGCACAAAUGAGCCACAAAAAGUAUUUAAAUGCUUAAUCAAUGUUGUCAUUGUUGCCAUUGAAUUAAAUGAGUCACAUUUUUACACAUAUUUACUGUAGUGAGAGUUCAUUAUAGAUCCAUUUAGUUAUUGCAGAGGAGGAUGGCAGACUAACUUCAUCGUUUUAUUAAAUAAGACUGUGACAGUGAUGGGUACAUCUCUGGUUCUUAGCUGGAUACGCAAGGAAUUGUAUAUUCAUUAAUGUGCUUGGAAUGCUCUUUCCUGUUCACUUUUUGUCUCUUCUUUUCACAUGACUGAUUAAGUUGUAAUUAUUUGUGUAGUGUUCCAUGACAUCAUUCCAUUCUCAGUGUCUGUAACAACAAAACUUUAUUUUGAUCUCUUAUGUUAGGAAAGAUACCAUAUUCAAAGAACUUUUAGUUUGCUAUUCAUUUUCUGAGGUGGAGAAGAGCACAAUGAAAUGUAAUAAGUAACUUUGGAAAUGGGUAGUGCAGUGUUCCUCCUCCCCAUAAUCAAAUUUUUGGUGUACUUUUAUGUAGAUCCCUUUGCAGAUACAGUACUGUGUGUGUGUGUGUGUGUGUGUGUGUGUGUGUGUGUGUGUGUAGGUAGGUGGGGGCACACCCGUAUGCUUGAUUCCUCUCCCUCCCUCCCUCCCUCCCCCCCCCUCCC